rnacentral:rRNA from 2 species
GCUUUUGCCCCUGCUAAGAUCCAUGUACCUCCUGGGAAGUCCCAUAAGAACUCCGAGGUUAAGCGUGCUUGGGCGAGAGUAGUACUAGGAUGGGUGACCUCCUGGGAAGUCCUCGUGUUGCAUUCC